CCUACGGGAGGCAGCAGUGGGGAAUAUUGGACAAUGGGCGCAAGCCUGAUGGAGCAACGCCGCGUGAGUGAAGAAGGUUUUCGGAUCGUAAAGCUCUGUUGUUGGUGAAGAAGGAUAGAGGUAGUAACUGGCCCCUAUUUGACGGUAAUUACUUAGAAAGUCACGGCUAACUACGUGCCAGCAGCCGCGAUAAUACGUAGGUGGCAAGCGUUGUCCGGAUUUAUUGGGCGUAAAGCGAGUGCAGGCGGUUCAAUAAGUCUGAUGUGAAAGCCUUCGGCUCAACCGGAGAAUUGCAUCAGAAACUGUUGAACUUGAGUGCAGAAGAGGAGAGUGGAACUCCAUGUGUAGCGGUGGAAUGCGUAGAUAUAUGGAAGAACACCAGUGGCGAAGGCGGCUCUCUGGUCUGCAACUGACGCUGAGGCUCGAAAGCAUGGGUAGCG
rnacentral:rRNA from 1 species